AUUGAACGCUGGCGGCAGGCCUAACACAUGCAAGUCGAGCGGAUGAAGGGAGCUUGCUCCUGGAUUCAGCGGCGGACGGGUGAGUAAUGCCUAGGAAUCUGCCUGGUAGUGGGGGAUAACGUCCGGAAACGGGCGCUAAUACCGCAUACGUCCUGAGGGAGAAAGUGGGGGAUCUUCGGACCUCACGCUAUCAGAUGAGCCUAGGUCGGAUUAGCUAGUUGGUGGGGUAAAGGCCUACCAAGGCGACGAUCCGUAACUGGUCUGAGAGGAUGAUCAGUCACACUGGAACUGAGACACGGUCCAGACUCCUACGGGAGGCAGCAGUGGGGAAUAUUGGACAAUGGGCGAAAGCCUGAUCCAGCCAUGCCGCGUGUGUGAAGAAGGUCUUCGGAUUGUAAAGCACUUUAAGUUGGGAGGAAGGGCAGUAAGUUAUACCUUGCUGUUUUGACGUUACCAACAGAAUAAGCACCGGCUAACUUCGUG
rnacentral:rRNA from 1 species